rnacentral:rRNA from 1 species
UCCUACGGGAGGCAGCAGUGAGGAAUAUUGGUCAAUGGGAGAGAUCCUGAACCAGCCAAGCCGCGUGAGGGAAGACGGCCCUAGGGGUUGUAAACCUCUUUUGUCGGAGAACAAGACCCGGGACGUGUCCCGGAUUGCGUAUAUCCGAAGAAAAAGCAUCGGCUAACUCCGUGCCAGCAGCCGCGGUAAUACGGAGGAUGCGAGCGUUAUCCGGAUUUAUUGGGUUUAAAGGGUGCGUAGGCGGUCCGUUAAGGCAUCGGUAAAAUUCCGG